AUUUCAUGAUGUGGACAUUGUCUAAAAAACUCUUUAAAUAUUUCACAAGCAUCAAACAUAUAUUCAUUCUCCUGUUGUUGAAAUGAAGUUAUUUAAUUUCUCAUUCU